UCCUCAGUGUGUUCUGCCGGAGCCCAAGUACGGAGACCAUAUUUACAGGUCCAUGUGACAGCUAUGCGUGGAAUUUUAAAGGGGACCUUUGAAGAAGCUGACAGCGCCUCCCUCUGCUCCUCUGUGCAGGAAUCAGAUGAUGACGUUUUUAGCUGUGGCAGUACUGAGAGUCUUGAUAGUGUCAGUCUGUCCAUACCUGAUCAUUUACCCAAAAAAGUAAGAAGAUAUCAACAGACUGAAAAGGUAUAUUCAGAAGCAUAGACUCUUGGGAGGACACUGCAGUUCAUGAGGCCACAAGGU